AUAAGUAAUAAAAAAAAUAUUAUUUAUUCGAAUAAUUUUGAAUAUAAAUUACUAUUGUGCUAUCAUUCUUACUUUAAUUUUAUUGUAUAAUUUCAAUGUAUUUAACUGUUAAUGAUGGACGUAUCAGCUCGUGUUAUUAUACUAAUACGUCUUUAGCCUUACCAUUUAAGGCUCAUAUUGUAUAGAAAUUCGGAUGAACCGGGUAGUUGUUAUCAUCAAUUACUUCACACCACACCCUAUGCAAUAUGCGCUACCAUACACAUAAAAUAUGCAUUGCACCUGACAGGCAAUUUCGCCUGUUCUGAAUUUGAAGGGAUUACCGAUAGUUUUUGCUCUAAUGUCCAGAAAGACAAAAUGCAGUUUCUACAACAGUAGAAAAAAAGAAAAAAAUUACUUAUACAUUAAAAAAUACUGUUUUUGAACCAGUUAAGGUAAAAUCUUUUAAUUUAUUGUUAAAGACAUCAUCGAAUGAUGCUUUUUGAUCAAUUGAAGAAUACACUUGUUAACUCCAUCAAAAUCACUUGAAUUAUGAUGAUUGUACAAAUUUAUAAGAGCUAAUAAAAUAAACAAGACUUCAGAGGCACACCAAUGUAGUAUUUUCAUAUAAGUCGGUAAUAGUUUUCAGUUGUCAUCAAUAUCUGUAAACAAGAAUCAUUAAUUUAAUAAGCUUUAUGGAGUACAACCUUUAAUUUUCUUCUAAGCAGCACUUCUACAUAAGUACGACGUCUACAACUAGGUGCUGGCACUCCAAAUUGUGGAGUUGUAUGCAUGCAGCUCACAAGAAAUUCAAAUAUUGUCAGUUGACCCAUACCCAACUGUCUUUGUGCUCGCAAAAUUUUGUUGUUUUGUUGUUGCCAUAUUACAGGUUGAUCCCUAUGAAUUUCGAUUCCAUCUCUUGCUCGCCUUAUGUCUUUAGUAAUGGCUCCAAUAUAUGACCAAGGUGAUGGAUUUGGAUGCGUGAAAUGGCUCAUCAAGGUCCUGUGGCUCGCUUCCAAAAUAUUAUUUGUUCUAUCAGUACGCCCAUGUACUGAGAGAGUAACAGGGCCAAUUUCUGAAAAGAAGAAGUAUCAUGAAUAGUCAGGUUCACCAAUUUCAAUAAAAUCUACCAGUCCAUUAAAAUGAUUGAAAAUGCAGUUAAAUCCAUCAACAAUGUCUUGGGAUGGUAACAAAGGCAAUGCCAUUAACAUGUGGACAAUUUUCCAGAAGAAUGGAUUUGUCUUGGCUAACUCUGUCAGACCUAAGGGUAAUAAAUAUAAUUGAACAACCUUCUUCGCCAUGUCCUCUUACUGUACCAGCAUAAAUAUUUACUCCCAAGAUAGCUGCUCUAUCACGAUAUGGGCCAUCUAGCUGAAGACUAAACUCUUCCAUUGAUUGCGGAUUUUGUGGUUGACCAUCUUUCCGAAAUCUUGCCAUUGUUCUACGAAGGCUUUCAUAGCGGUUCACAUUAACAUCAACAAAUGUUUCAUUUGUGGACAUCUAAUAUUCAAUUAAAUACAUAAAACUAUCACAGCAUCCUUGACAGCAUCUAAAUAACAUAGCUACACAGAAUGCAUUUUAUUCAGUCCAGAGUGGUUUUAGAGCAAAACCACCUAUAAUAAAAUCAAAAGAUAACAACAUUUCAAAAACAAUGUGAUGGACUCACUCAUUCUGACGUUAUGCUUGUAUAUGUGUGUUUAUUUACUAUAUUAAUCGUAUUGUAAUAAUCAAUAUUGUGUUAGUUUAAUUGUUCAAAAUAGUAUUAACAUUAUUAUUAUUAAAAGUGUUGUCUUCCACUCUAAUUUUUUUAAUGUU